AAAAAGGGAAGCUAGAAAACAUUUUGUUCAAAGUAGUAAUGAUAAGUUUACUCCACUACCUCUGACUUCCAUUCAUCCCUCAUCAUCAUUACACCCUCACUUCUUUCUUUUUCUCUGUACCUCCACUUUUAUUCCCAACAUCAUGAUGAUAGUGAUGAUGACGAUUCCUCAUCUUCAUCAUCAUCUUCAUCGUCUUCUUCUACUUCUUUUUUCUCUUCAACUCCCAAGUUCCAGUACCCAAGAGGAAAACAUAAUCACAGAAAUCCAAGAUCAAGAAUCCCAAGAAAAAGAAUAAGUUGUCGAUUAUCAUCGUCAUCAAGAUUAGGGUUUACCUAAUCUCUCUACUUUUUCUUUUAGAUCGAUUCUUGACCAUCAUCAUCUCAUAUGUUUGUAUCAUCAUCCACGUGUGCGUACGAGAUCCGAAAGGGGAAUCAAGCGUCUCGGUCCGAUCCUUCGCUUCUUCAAAGCGAUCUUCACUCGAAAAUCAUUAAAAUCAAAACAGGCGAUUUCCGGCGGUCUGACCCUAUCGAGUCUCUCUUCCUUCUUCUCCCACUCGCCGUCCUCUCCGAAUCACCAUCAUGACCAUCACCACCGUCCUCCCAUCCGUCAGCCAUAUCCACGUUGUCUCUGUCUACCUCGUCACCACUGUUCCUCUCCUUGUCUUCUCCAGUCGAGGUGAGUCGGAGAUGAGCAGCGGCGAUGAGGAGACAGAGCUUAACUUCGACUUCCAUGGAGUUCUGCCGUGUGUUCGAGCUUUGAGCUCGAGGGAUGAGAUGGAGUCUAGUGAGAAGAGAAGGGAGGAGAUGGAUUUGGCUCAGAGACGAAGGAGGAGAUGGAGUUGGAUUCAAAGAUAAGUCUCUUACCCUUUUUCUCAGAUUCAGUUUUAUUUCUGAUCUAAUGUAUUGAUUAUGGAGGAAACUGACAGUUUCAAAAACUGUAACCACAGUUUUAGGUACGUUCAGGACUGGCAUUGAGAAUAACUGCCACGAACCAGCUGAGGACUGAGGACUUAGUUGAAACUUUGAGAUGCAUUAAUAGGGAUGUGCUUCAUUCUCUUGAUCACAAGCAUAGGGGAUGUGCUUUAUUUUAAGCUGCUCAAAGGUAAAAGGAUCUGUAUAUUAUGGUCACAUGACUGAAAUACUGGUGCGAAGAGCUUCUUUUCCUGAUGAAUUCACACGGUUAACAUCCAUCAUGUGGAUAAACGAGAUUGUCUUAAAGCAUGCUUAUUAUAAGGAUCAAACAUGCAUGUCACAAGCUACAGAUUCAGCGAUGACCACUUUGGUGAUUGUGCAACCACUUUUUUGGCUAGAAUUAGAAGAUAGACGAAGUUUUUUAUAAUUAUCAUGAGAGAGAAUAAGAUGUUUGUAAUAGGCAUUUGUAUUGUACUUUUGUACCAGACUACAUUGUAUUGUUCUCUUUGUACCAAACUGAUGUAUUAUGUAAUAACUUACUUGGAGUAGAUUUCAAAAGACUAAUACUGGAAUAGACAUAUGUAUUGCACUUUUGUACCAAACUAUAUUUUAUUGUGCU